GACGAACGCUGGCGGCGUGCCUAAUACAUGCAAGUAGAACGCACAGUUUAUACCGUAGCUUGCUACACCAUAGACUGUGAGUUGCGAACGGGUGAGUAACGCGUAGGUAACCUGCCUGGUAGCGGGGGAUAACUAUUGGAAACGAUAGUUAAUACCGCAUAAUAUUGAUUAUUGCAUGAUAAUUAAUUGAAAUGUGCAAUUGCACCACUACCAGAUGGACCUGCGUUGUAUUAGCUAGUAGGUGAGGUAACGGCUCACCUAGGCGACGAUACAUAGCCGACCUGAGAGGGUGAUCGGCCACACUGGGACUGAGACACGGCCCAGACUCCUACGGGAGGCAGCAGUAGGGAAUCUUCGGCAAUAGACGAAAGUCUGACCGAGCAACGCCGCGUGAGUGAAGAAGGUUUUCGGAUCGUAAAGCUCUGUUGUAAGAGAAGAACGGGUGUGAGAGUGGAAAGUUCACACUGUGACGGUAUCUUACCAGAAAGGGACGGCUAACUACGUG
rnacentral:rRNA from 1 species